rnacentral:sRNA from 1 species
CAUUGCUCCAAGAUGGCGGCGGCGGCGGCAGCGGGAGCGCAGCUCAGCUGGGCUGGAACUGCCCUCCUGGAACUCCCCCAGCCUGCAACCUAGGAGGUGCAGGGACUGAGGCUCAGGCCAAAUCACAACUCAGACCUGGUGAACCCAAGGCCUGAAGAGAAUUUGGAUUCAUUUACAUUGUUUUGUGGGGACUGGAGAGACAAGUAAACUCUCAGCUUAACUGUCCCCUCCCGGUCUGACUACCAUUUCUAAGGCAAGCCCCCUGUUUCUACUCUUGCGCCCCCUGCUGGUUUCCUGCCCUAUCUGUAAGUUGCAUGGCUUUUGUCCGUCUUUUUUUUUUUUUUUUUUUUUUUGAGACAGGGUCUCACCCAGGCUGGAGUGAAAUGAAGCAAUCUCGGCUCACUGCAACCUCCACCUCCCAAGUUCAAGCGAUUCUCACACCUCAGCCUCCCCAAUAGCUGGGAUUACAGGUGUGCACCACCAUGCCCAGCUAAUCUUUGUAUUUUUUGGUAGAGAGGGGGUUUCACCAUAUUGCCCACACUGGUCUCU